CCCUUAGAUGUUCUGGGCCGCACGCGCGCUACUCUGAUGCAUUCAACGAGUCUAAAACCUGCUCUGAUAGGGGUGGGUAAUCUUUUGAAUGUGCAUCGUGAUUGGGAUAGAUGAUUGCAAUUUUUCAUCUUCAACGAGGAAUGCCUAGUAAACGCAAGUCAUCAGCUUGCAUUGAUUACGUCCCUGCCCUUUGUACACACCGCCCGUCGCUCCUACCGAUUGAAUGAUCCGAUGAAUAUCAUGGAUUGAGGAUGCAAGUAGGUUAGCCUAUCUUCAUCUUCGAGAAGUGAAGUAAAUCUUAUCAUUUAGAGGAAGGAGAAGUCGUAACA
rnacentral:rRNA from 1 species